UACGUAGGGUGCGAGCGUUAAUCGGAAUUACUGGGCGUAAAGCGUGCGCAGGCGGCGCGUUAAGACAGGUGUGAAAGCCCCGAGCUUAACUUGGGAAUUGCGCUUGUGACUGGCGUGCUGGAGUGUGGCAGAGGGAGGUGGAAUUCCACGUGUAGCAGUGAAAUGCGUAGAGAUGCGGCGGAACACCGAUGGCGAAGGCAGCCCCCUGGGCUGAGAUUGACGCUCAGGCACGAAAGCGUGGGGAGCAAACAGG
rnacentral:rRNA from 1 species